rnacentral:tRNA from 1 species
GGGCGAUUAGCUCAGCUGGUUAGAGCGUUCCCUUCACACGGGAGAGGUCUGGGGUUCGAGUCCCUAAUCGCCCACCA